rnacentral:rRNA from 1 species
CUCGGAUCAGGUAGGGAUACCCGCUGAACUUAAGCAUAUCAUAGCGGAGG